rnacentral:rRNA from 1 species
UACGUAGGUGACGAGCGUUAUCCGGAAUUAUUGGACGUAAAGCGCCCGCAGGCGGCUGUUCAAGUCUGACGUGAAAUCGCUCGGCUUAACUGGGCGGGGUCGUUGGAAACUGAAUAGCUUGAGGCAAGGAGAGGGGCGUGGAAUUCCCGGUGUAGUGGUGGAAUGCGUAGAUAUCGGGAGGAACAUCAGUGGCGCAAGCGGCGCCCUGGCCUUAGCCUGACGCUCAGGGGCGAAAGCGUGGGGAGCGAACGGG